UUUAUGGAGAGUUUGAUCCUGGCUCAGAGUGAACGCUGGCGGCGUGCCUAAUACAUGCAAGUCGAACGAUGAAGCUUCUAGCUUGCUAGAAGUGGAUUAGUGGCGCACGGGUGAGUAAGGUAUAGUUAAUCUGCCCUACACAAGAGGACAACAGUUGGAAACGACUGCUAAUACUCUAUACUCCUGCUUAACACAAGUUGAGUAGGGAAAGUUUUUCGGUGUAGGAUGAGACUAUAU
rnacentral:rRNA from 1 species